rnacentral:rRNA from 1 species
GAUGAACGCUAGCUACAGGCUUAACACAUGCAAGUCGAGGGGCAGCAUGGUCUUAGCUUGCUAAGGCCGAUGGCGACCGGCGCACGGGUGAGUAACACGUAUCCAACCUGCCGUCUACUCUUGGACAGCCUUCUGAAAGGAAGAUUAAUACAAGAUGGCAUCAUGAGUCCACAUGUUCACAUGAUUAAAGGUAUUCCGGUAGACGAUGGGGAUGCGUUCCAUUAGAUAGUAGGCGGGGUAACGGCCCACCUAGUCUUCGAUGGAUAGGGGUUCUGAGAGGAAGGUCCCCCCACAUUGGAACUGAGACACGGUCCAAACUCCUACGGGAGGCAGCAGUGAGGAAUAUUGGUCAAUGGGCGAGAGCCUGAACCAGCCAAGUAGCGUGAAGGAUGACUGCCCUAUGGGUUGUAAACUUCUUUUAUAAAGGAAUAAAGUCGGGUAUGGAUACCCGUUUGCAUGUACUUUAUGAAUAAGGAUCGGCUAACUCCGUGCCA